AAGGUUUUAAGUUAAUUUAAACUUUUAGCCUUCAAAGCUUACAAUAGAUUCCUUAAUCUAAACCUUA
rnacentral:tRNA from 1 species